rnacentral:rRNA from 1 species
UACGGGGGGGGGCAAGCGUUGUUCGGAAUUACUGGGCGUAAAGGGCUCGUAGGUGGCCAACUAAGUCAGACGUGAAAUCCCUCAGCUUAACUGGGGAACUGCGUCUGAUACUGGAUGGCUUGAGUUUGGGAGAGGGAUGCGGAAUUCCAGGUGUAGCGGUGGAAUGCGCAGAUAUCAGGAGGAACACCGGUGGCGAAGGCGGAUCUCUGGGCCAUAACUGACGCUGAGGAGCGAAAGCAUGGGGAGCGAACAGG